rnacentral:rRNA from 1 species
GAUGAACGCUGGCGGCGUGCCUAAUACAUGCAAGUCGAGCGAACGGACGAGAAGCUUGCUUCUCUGAUGUUAGCGGCGGACGGGUGAGUAACACGUGGAUAACCUACCUAUAAGACUGGGAUAACUUCGGGAAACCGGAGCUAAUACCGGAUAAUAUUUUGAACCGCAUGGUUCAAAAGUGAAAGACGGUCUUGCUGUCACUUAUAGAUGGAUCCGCGCUGCAUUAGCUAGUUGGUAAGGUAACAGCUUACCAAGGCAACGAUGCAUAGCCGACCUGAGAGGGUGAUCGGCCACACUGGAACUGAGACACGGUCCAGACUCCUACGGGAGGCAGCAGUAGGGAAUCUUCCGCAAUGGGCGAAAGCCUGACGGAGCAACGCCGCGUGAGUGAUGAAGGUCUUCGGAUCGUAAAACUCUGUUAUUAGGGAAGAACAUAUGUGUAAGUAACUGUGCACAUCUUGACGGUACCUAAUCAGAAAGCCACGGCUAACUACGUGCCAGCAGCCGCGGUAAUACGUAGGUGGCAAGCGUUAUCCGGAAUUAUUGGGCGUAAAGCGCGCGUAGGCGGUUUUUUAAGUCUGAUGUGAAAGCCCACGGCUCAACCGUGGAGGGUCAUUGGAAACUGGAAAACUUGAGUGCAGAAGAGGAAAGUGGAAUUCCAUGUGUAGCGGUGAAAUGCGCAGAGAUAUGGAGGAACACCAGUGGCGAAGGCGACUUUCUGGUCUGUAACUGACGCUGAUGUGCGAAAGCGUGGGGAUCAAACAGGAUUAGAUGCCCUGGUAGUCCACGCCGUAAACGAUGAGUGCUAAGUGUUAGGGGGUUUCCGCCCCUUAGUGCUGCAGCUAACGCAUUAAGCACUCCGCCUGGGGAGUACGACCGCAAGGUUGAAACUCAAAGGAAUUGACGGGGACCCGCACAAGCGGUGGAGCAUGUGGUUUAAUUCGAAGCAACGCGAAGAACCUUACCAAAUCUUGACAUCCUUUGACAACUCUAGAGAUAGAGCCUUCCCCUUCGGGGGACAAAGUGACAGGUGGUGCGUGGUUGUCGUCAGCUCGUGUCGUGAGAUGUUGGGUUAAGUCCCGCAACGAGCGCAACCCUUAAGCUUAGUUGCCAUCAUUAAGUUGGGCACUCUAAGUUGACUGCCGGUGACAAACCGGAGGAAGGUGGGGAUGACGUCAAAUCAUCAUGCCCCUUAUGAUUUGGGCUACACACGUGCUACAAUGGACAAUACAAAGGGCAGCGAAACCGCGAGGUCAAGCAAAUCCCAUAAAGUUGUUCUCAGUUCGGAUUGUAGUCUGCAACUCGACUACAUGAAGCUGGAAUCGCUAGUAAUCGUAGAUCAGCAUGCUACGGUGAAUACGUUCCCGGGUCU